GGGGUUGUGGCUUAGUGGUAGAGUGCUUGCCUAGCAUGCAUGAGGCACUCGGUUCGAUCCUCAGCACCA
rnacentral:tRNA from 1 species